UGAAGAUGUAACACAGCAAUAGCUGAUCC
rnacentral:sRNA from 1 species